GUUGCCUCCUAUGCAUCUCCUUUUAAAUGGACAUAUUCUUGGAAAACUGUAGAACUAAAAACCCUUUAUAGCUUAUAACAGGAUUCCAGAAAGGAAAAAAAGCUAAUAUUUUCACAAGAUGUACUUGGAGCGAAGCAUAUUCAUUUGUUCAUUCAUGCAACGAUAUUUAAUGAUCCUCUACCACCUGCCAGGUUCUCUCCUACACCACCUACACCACAGGGAUUCAGCCAUGAAAAACAACAACUAACACCCUACGCCCGUGGAGCUUUCAGCUAGUGGGAGAGCUAGUCAACUCUUAACGACAAUGUGUGACAACAUCCCAGAAACAUGACACAGUGGGUAAAGGUGACCUGGAGUGAGGACAAACCAGCAUCUACAUUCUGACUCUGACAUCCAGCCUGUUGUACCUUGGACAGGCAAGAUAACCUCUCUGAUCCUCAGUUUCUACUGGUGUAAAAUGGUGAAUAUAAUACCAACUUUGAAAGACUGUAAUGAGGAGUAAAGAAAAUAAUGUAGAAAAUUAUCUGGCACAGUACCUUGGACAUAACGCUGAUGAUUUGUUUAUGAACAGAACUGACACAUGACACCAUCUCUCAGAGGUUACAUUCAAGAAGAGGAGACAGAAAAUAAACAAAAAAGCCCUACUGGUUCAGACAUGGGGUGCAAUAGGAAGAGGGGACUGAAGACAGUCCCAGCAACUGUGAAUAUGGCUGUCAUUUACUGAGAGAGGAAGAAAGUAAAUGCACUGAGACGUUAUUGAUCAAGUAAUUUACACAAAAUGGACAUAUGAAGGAAAAGGGUCAUUGGGAGAGACACUUGGCUGAAUACACUGAAAAACCGAUUCUCCAUUUCUCUCCAAGUCAUGAAAAAAGAAAAACUUUGUCUUUAUUACAAAAAUUUCACUCUAAUGAGUUAAGCACUAUAUGUCAGAAGAAAAAAAUUUGGAUACUAAAGGAUUUCCAGAUUCUGUAGUUCUUUGCAGCUUCAGCUUUGAAUUUCUCAACUUGCCUGCGGUGGUGCUGAAAGAAUUAGGUGGGGAAGCUUCUGACAGGCAUUUUACAGAUCCCUUAGUCAAAUUCGUUUCACUCUCUGCUUAAAUUUUCGACAAGUGCUCCAAGCUUCUCUGAUUCUAAUCAUUGUCUGACUUCGAUGAUGCAGAUUAAUCAAUCUCCCUCUUGCUUCACAGGCAAGAGAAUACUUCAGUUUCAGAAUUCUGAGGUCAUCUCCAAAUGUUUUAAUAUCACACACACCUCGUCCUUUUCUUUGUCAGUUAUUAGUAGGUUCAUAGGACAUUAUUAAAGGGCAGCCUAGGUUAUUGUGGCUUGUAAAGCAUCAAACAAUCAAAUAAUUAUUACGUCCUCACACACCUGUGCUCCUUAAAGUCAAACAGAGACAAUUUUCAAUAUCAUUUCACAUGACAACCAAAGUCAUCGGAUGGUCUCUACAAUUUCAUCUCUACCAUCUUCUCCCUUCUUGCCCUGAAAUGCCCUUACCCCUCCUCAUCUGGUCUAUUGCGACCGUUCUUUCUAGUGUUCCUCUUCUUUCACAGCACAUUUUAGGGGAUCCCCUCACCUAAUGGCCCUCUCUGAUCCCUUUUCCCCGACUGGGUUAGGUGCUGCCAUCUCCACAGGUGCUCUCCUUGCGCUUACCACUCUCAAAGCUACAUCGAACUUGCUUACUUAUCUGCCUCAAUUAUUGAUCACCAACGUCCAAGGCACUGUGCUAGGGCCUGGGGAUACAGCAGUAAAGAAAAUAGUCCCUAUCUGAAAAUCUCCUGAGGAAACAGAACUGUUGU